rnacentral:rRNA from 1 species
AGACGAGGAUAACAAUUGGAAACGGUUGCUAAGACUGGAUAGGAAACAAAAAGGCAUCUUUUUGUUUUUAAAAGACCUUCUUAUGAAGGUAUGCUUAAAGAGGGGCUUGCGCCACAUUAGUUAGUUGGUAGGGUAAAAGCCUACCAAGACGAUGAUGUGUAGCUGGACUGAGAGGUUGAACAGCCACAUUGGGACUGAGACACGGCCCAAACUCCUACGGGAGGCAGCAGUAGGGAAUUUUCGGCAAUGGAGGAAACUCUGACCGAGCAACGCCGCGUGAACGAUGAAGUAUUUCGGUAUGUAAAGUUCUUUUAUUGAAGAAGAAAAAGUAGUGGAAAAACUAUAUUGACGUUAUUCAAUGAAUAAGCCCCGGCUAACUAUGUGCCAGCAGCCGCGGUAAGACAUAGGGGGCGAGCGUUUUCCGGAAUUAUUGGGCGUAAAGGGUGCGUAGGCUGUUAGAUAAGUCUAUAAUUUAAUUUCACUGCUUAACGCUGUCUUGUUAUAGAAACUGUCUUGACUAGAGUGAGAUAGAGGCAAGCGGAAUUCCAUGUGUAGCGGUAAAAUGUGUAAAUAUAUGGAGGAACACCAGAAGCGUAGGCGGCUUGCUGGGUCUUUACUGACGCUGAGGCACGAAAGCGUGGGUAGCAAACAGGAUUAGAUACCCUGGUAGUCCACGCCGUAAACGAUGAGUACUAAGUGUCGGGGUAAAACUCGGUACUGAAGUUAACACAUUAAGUACUCCGCCUGAGUAGUACGUACGCAAGUAUGAAACUUAAAGGAAUUGACGGGACUCCGCACAAGCGGUGGAUCAUGUUGUUUAAUUCGAAGAUACACGAAAAAUCUUACCAGGUCUUGACAUACUCUGCAAAGCUUUAGAAAUAUAGUGGAGGUUAUCAGGGAUACAGGUGGUGCAUGGUUGUCGUCAGUUCGUGUCGUGAGAUGUUAGGUUAAGUCCUAAAACGAGCGCAACCCUUGUCGUUAAUUGCCAGCACGUAAUGGUGGGGACUUUAGCGAGACUGCCAAUUAAACAUUGGAGGAAGGUGAGGAUUACGUCAAAUCAUCAUGCCCCUUAUGAUCUGGGCUACAAACGUGAUACAAUGGCUGUGACAAAGAGUAGCUGAAACGCGAGUUUUUAGCCAAUCUCAAAAAAGCAGUCUCAGUUCGGAUUGAAGUCUGUAACUCGACUUCAUGAAGUUGGAAUCGCUAGUAAUCGCGAAUCAGCAUGUCGCGGUGAAUACGUUCUCGGGGUU